rnacentral:rRNA from 1 species
CCCAGGCGCGGCUUACCAUGCAAGUCGAACGAUGAACCACUUCGGUGGGGAUUAGUGGCGAACGGGUGAGUAACACGUGGGCAAUCUGCCCUGCACUCUGGGACAAGCCCUGGAAACGGGGUCUAAUACCGGAUAUGAGCCUUCACCGCAUGGUGAGGGCUGUAAAGCUCCGGCGGUGCAGGAUGAGCCCGCGGCCUAUCAGCUUGUUGGUGAGGUAACGGCUCACCAAGGCGACGACGGGUAGCCGGCCUGAGAGGGCGACCGGCCACACUGGGACUGAGACACGGCCCAGACUCCUACGGGAGGCAGCAGUGGGGAAUAUUGCACAAUGGGCGAAAGCCUGAUGCAGCGACGCCGCGUGAGGGAUGACGGCCUUCGGGUUGUAAACCUCUUUCAGCAGGGAAGAAGCGAAAGUGACGGUACCUGCAGAAGAAGCGCCGGCUAACUACGUGCCAGCAGCCGCGGUAAUACGUAGGGCGCAAGCGUUGUCCGGAAUUAUUGGGCGUAAAGAGCUCGUAGGCGGCUUGUCACGUCGGUUGUGAAAGCCCGGGGCUUAACCCCGGGUCUGCAGUCGAUACGGGCAGGCUAGAGUUCGGUAGGGGAGAUCGGAAUUCCUGGUGUAGCGGUGAAAUGCGCAGAUAUCAGGAGGAACACCGGUGGCGAAGGCGGAUCUCUGGGCCGAUACUGACGCUGAGGAGCGAAAGCGUGGGGAGCGAACAGGAUUAGAUACCCUGGUAGUCCACGCCGUAAACGGUGGGCACUAGGUGUGGGCAACAUUCCACGUUGUCCGUGCCGCAGCUAACGCAUUAAGUGCCCCGCCUGGGGAGUACGGCCGCAAGGCUAAAACUCAAAGGAAUUGACGGGGGCCCGCACAAGCGGCGGAGCAUGUGGCUUAAUUCGACGCAACGCGAAGAACCUUACCAAGGCUUGACAUACACCGGAAACGGCCAGAGAUGGUCGCCCCCUUGUGGUCGGUGUACNGGUGGUGCAUGGCUGUCGUCAACUCGUGUCGGGAGAUGUUGGGUUAAGUCCCGCACCGAGCGCAACCCUUGUCCCGUGUUGCCAGCAGGCCCUUGUGGUGCUGGGGAACUCACCGGAAAACCACCGGGGUCAAUUCGAAGAAAGGGGGGGACGACCUCAAGUCAUCAUGCCCCUUAGUUCUUGGGCUUGCNACGNGCCACAAUGGC